rnacentral:rRNA from 1 species
AACGAACGCUGGCGGCAUGCCUAACACAUGCAAGUCGAACGAGACCUUCGGGUCUAGUGGCGCACGGGUGCGUAACGCGUGGGAACCUGCCCUUGGGUUCGGAAUAACUCCCCGAAAGGGGUGCUAAUACCGGAUAAUGUCUUCGGACCAAAGAUUUAUCGCCUUUGGAUGGGCCCGCGUUGGAUUAGCUAGUUGGUAGGGUAAAAGCCUACCAAGGCGACGAUCCAUAGCUGGUCUGAGAGGAUGAUCAGCCACACUGGGACUGAGACACGGCCCAGACUCCUACGGGAGGCAGCAGUGGGGAAUAUUGGACAAUGGGCGAAAGCCUGAUCCAGCAAUGCCGCGGGAGUGAUGAAGGCCUUAGGGUUGUAAAGCUCUUUUACCCGGGAUGAUAAUGACAGUACCGGGAGAAUAAGCUCCGGCUAACUCCGU